rnacentral:rRNA from 1 species
CCUACGGGAGGCAGCAGUGGGGAAUUUUGGACAAUGGGCGCAAGCCUGAUCCAGCAAUGCCGCGUGCAGGAUGAAGGCCUUCGGGUUGUAAACUUGCUUUUGUACGGAACGAAACGGUGAGCUCUAAUACAGUUUGCUAAUGACGGUACCGUAAGAAUAAGCACCGGCUAACUACGUGCCAGCAGCCGCGGUAAUACGUAGGGUGCGAGCGUUAAUCGGAAUUACUGGGCGUAAAGCGUGCGCAGGCGGUGAUGUAAGACAGAUCGUGAAAUCCCCGGGCUCAACCUGGGACCUGCAUUUGUGACUGCAUCGCUAGAGUACGGGUAGAGGGGGUAUGGAAUUCCGCGUGUAGCAGUGAAAUGCGUAGAUAUGCGGAGGAACACCGAUGGCGAACGGCGAAUCCCCUGGACCUGUACUGACGCUCAUGCACGAAAGCGUAGGGGAGCAAACAGGAUUAGGAUACCCUGGUAGUCCACGCCUAACGAUGUCAACUGUUNUUGGGUCUCACUNNCAGAGAGACGACGCGNGAGUGUCGCGUGGUUAGUUACGUCGCGAGUAGAAGUUAAGAGUGAGNGNGAGAGNGCGACGGACGACGACGAGGAGGAGG